CCCUUAGAUGUUCUGGGCUGCACACGUGCUACACUGGCAGGUUCAGCGAGCUUCAUGCCCUGAUCUGAAAGGAAUGGGAAAUCUUUUCAAAACCUGCCGUGCUUGGGAUAGAUGUUUGCAAUUAUUCAUCUUCAACGAGGAGUGCCUUGUAAGCGCACGUCAUCAGCGUGCAUUGAAUACGACCCUGUAUUCUGUACACACCGCCCGUCGCUCCUACCGAUUGAAGUUUUCGGUGAGUUGACAGGAGGAUUUUUUUGAAACUGGUUCGCCAGUGGAUUUUAGAUCCAAAUGCCAACGAAUCGAUGGCUUUAGAGGAAGGAGAAGUCGUAACA
rnacentral:rRNA from 1 species